UUGUGUAGUUGCAUAUUGUGGUCACUGGGGGGGGGGGCAGUGCUUAAGGGUUAACUGCAGUUUUCCAAAAAAAAACUUAACAAGAAAUGCAUCUUGGGACUUCCUGUUUACCUUUCUUUUUGUUGUGGAUGUGGAACGGGAAUGUUGUGAAGGAGUUAAAUUGUUGGUAAGGAAUUGUUAAAUAUGCACAUAACUCAUUGAAACAUAUUGUUAUAAUUGUAGUGCAGUGGCAAAACGUCAGUAUUUUAACAAGAUGAUGUAUUUCUUAAAUGUAUGAUGCAAAGGACCUGUAUGUGCAGUGUGGAGCGGCCAUUUUCUCCAUGCAAGGGAUAAGCUGCGAGAUCGUCUGUGUGCUGCAGUAUUGCAAGUGAGCUGAGAUUUCUGUGGAAUGUAAGUAUUUAUAAAAAUGUAUGUAACACUUCCACAUUUUUUAAAGGAGCCUUGUGUGAUUUAGUUCUUUGUAUUUUGUUCUGCACAGACAGGGGCCACUGCCGUAUUUUUGUGUGUUGUAUUUCAUUUCAUUUAUUUUAUUCCUCGUAUUGUAUUUGCGCAUCUUUGUUUAAUCGGUUAUUCUGUUACUUUGCCACGUUACCUCUCGUGCUGUCGAUGUUCAGUACAAGUCCAUAUGGCCGCUGUUUGACAAAAGUAAAGGUCAAAGGACAUUUUUUUAAACUGAUACUGUAAACUUUUGUUUGUGUGUCAGGUUUCCAUACAUCGGGAACAGCUGCUGCAUCUGUAAUUCUGUCCAUCCUGAGGAGAGUCCACACUCUACAUCAGAUCCUUGGCUCACCUAUAAUGAUGCACAGGUGCUGCACACAACUGGAUCUGCAGCUUGUGAGGAACAGCAGCACUCGGCCUACAUCUUGUUUUACAAGAUUAACACACCCUUCAGUUUCAUCAUGUCAUCCCUAACAAUAGCUGUAGAGUUGGAUGGAGGAUGAAGACAGCAGAGAGCAAAAGAAACAGUUGAACUUUUGCAAAGCUGAGGAGAUUUUGGCUGCGAUCACAUCAAGUCCAAAGAUGUUUAAA